rnacentral:rRNA from 1 species
AUACAUGCAAGUAGAACGCUGAAGAGGAGCUUGCUUCUCUGGAUGAGUUGCGAACGGGUGAGUAACGCGUAGGUAACCAGCGUGGUAGCGGGGGAUAACUAUUGGAAACGAUAGCUAAUACCGCAUAAGAGUAGAUGUCGCAUGACAUUUACUUAAAAGGUGCAAUUGCAUCACUACCAGAUGGACCUGCGUUGUAUAGCUAGUUGGUGAGGUAACGGCUCACCAAGGCAACGAUACAUAGCCGACCUGAGAGGGUGAUCGGCCACACUGGGACUGAGACACGGCCCAGACUCCUACGGGAGGCAGCAGUAGGGAAUCUUCGGCAAUGGACGGAAGUCUGACCGAGCAACGCCGCGUGAGUGAAGAAGGUUUUCGGAUCGUAAAGCUCUGUUGUAAGAGAAGAACGAGUGUGAGAGUGAAAAGCU